UAUAAUGAUGUAGUACAAACGGAAGCUCUUUCAUGCAGUCAUGGCUGAAGCUACUAGGCCACUGCCUUGUCACGAUGGAUCCCCUGAAGGAGUGAUAUUAACACUAUGCGAGGCCACUGCCUUGUCAUGAUGGAUCCCCUGAAGGAGUGAUAUUAACACCAUAUGCAAGGGUUGACUCUGCAUAGUAACACAGGGUAAUCAAGCAGCAGCAAGGAUGUAAAGAGACCAUAAACUGGGCUUUGCUGUAUGAUGAAACCACUGAAGGAGGUUACACUCUUAAUACCAGGGAUGCUUACCCUGACCUAGGGUAUUACACAAAGAAUAUUGUGUAACAGUCAUGGCGAUGUUCAGUGCACCCACUCACAUAACUUUUCUCUUCACUGGCCUCAGUUUGGCUAAAUUGUGGUGCUCCCUGCAUAUAUGGAAAACUUAAAGGUAAAACUGGUAGUGACUGCAAGAAGGCUGGAAACCUUUAGAGCCCAUAAAGCGAUCAGUAUUCAUUACUUCAAGGGAUAAAGUGCAGCUGAAGAGGACCCAUCCCUGAAUUGUUACAUUACUGGAAUGACUUCUGCUCCCUUGGAAGUUUGGCUUCAAUAUGUGCCCUGUUCAUCAUAGCAAGAGACUGGGUGGAAAUGUCAUUGCUCUUCAGUUUCUCUUGGGUAUCUGUGUUUUCUGUUUUGAGUAAUUUUAAGAACUGGAAAUCCAAGCUCAAGAGUGCCUUGAUUUGCUGCUUUUAUACUUGGUUGUAGCAACACUGCAUAGAAUAGUAGUUUUACUGUUUCUUGCUCGCUGCCUUUGGAGUGUUUCUUGUCUUUGAUCAUUGUGAAAUCUCAUAUUCUGGUCUGGAGACACUGCCUGUUUAACUGUAAUAAAUGUGAAUCUUUAUAAA